GACGUGUCAGGGCUGUCAGAGGCCAGUGCUGAAAUCUGUAAGACGUUCCAGGCUGCAAACCCGGCGGGGCGGCUGAGGGUCCCGGCGGGAAUUCCAGCGCGCACACGGGUCUGGAGUGUCUCGAGCCUCGGCCCGACCCUUGAUCGCCCUCCGAGUUCACUUUGUGUCGAUCUUGCAGGCUCACUCAACUCGCCCGGCUUCUGUCCUUUGGCUCCUGAAGUCAGUCCCUCGCACCUCUGGGACAAUUCGUCGCGGGGCAGGGAGAGGCCAGGGGCACCUCGGCAGACCGGCGAGCGAGCCAGCGUGCCCACGCUGGGUGCGCGCACAGAACAGCACAGAACGUGGGGCAUUUCCUGCCGUUGGACACGUCACACGCGGAGUGAAAGCGAACGCGCUUUCUGAAAUGUGGCUUCUGUCUGUGUCCCGAUCACCCCAAGGGUUGACCAGGAUGUCCACUGCAACAUUCAACAGAAACAGUGACAGGGCUGUCCUCAUCUUGUUCUUAUCUUAAAGCUAUUAAUUUCUGAGAAUGACCCGUUGAAAUUUCCGAUUAUGGGGCUCGCAUUGUGGCAUAGCAGGUGACGUGGCCAUCUGCAAUGCCGGCAUCUCACGUGGGUGCCAGUUUGAGUCCCAGCCGCUCUGCUUUGGAUCCAGCUUCCUGCUAAUGGCCUGGGAAAAGCAGUGAAAGAUGGCCCAAAUGCUUGGGCCCCUGCACCCAUGUGGGAGAUCCAGAUGAAGCUCACGGUUCCUGGCUUCAGCCUGGCCAACUCUGCCCUUUGUGGCCAUCUGGGGAGUGAACCAGCAGAUGGAAGGUCUCUCUGUCUCUUCCUCUCUCUGUGUAACUGAUUUUCAAAAUAAAUAAAAAAAUCUAAAAAAACACAAUUCUGACAAAUUUUGUGUUCUUUCAUUUCAAGUAUCUCUCUUGUGGCCCCUCAUUUUUUUAAAAUCUUAUUUUAUUUUAAUUUUUUCAAAAGAUUUAUUUAUUUAUUUGAAAGGCAGAGUCACAGAGAAGCAGAGAGAGAGAGAGGGGCCUUCCAUCCACUGAUUCAUUCCCCAGAUGACCACAACGGCCAGAGCUGUGCUGAUCUGAAGCCAGGAGCCAGGUGCUUCUCCUGGUCUCCCAUGGGGUGCAGGGCCCAAGCACUUGGGCCAUCCUCCACUGCACUCCCGGGCCACAGCAGAGACUGGCCUGGAAGAGGGGCAACCGGGACAGAAUGUGCGAUAUGAACCCGGUGUACAGGCGCCACAAGGCGGAGGAUUAGCCUAGUGAGCCGCGGCGCCAGCCUCCUAUUGGAUAUUGACAUGCUUUCUGCCCUUCCAAUCUUCGAAUUUUUAAACACAUUUUAAAGCAUGUCUCUUUCCUGUUGCUUACUGAAGAGUUCCUCUGUCGAAUCUUGCUGAUUCUUUCUUCUGAGAUUCUAUUCCAUCUGUUGUGUUCCUUGUUUUACUUCUAAUGUACUUCAAACUCAACUGAUCUACUUUUUUCCCUAUGAUUUUUGUUUCUUAUUUUUUGGCCCUAAUAGAACCCAUUCUUUGUCUCUGAAUCUGUGACCUGUUUCCUGAAGAUUUUUGGUGCGUCCGUUUUGAUUUGCGGAGGUGGUCUCUGUGGUUCAGCCUCCUGCUUGUUGGCUAAGGGAAGCUCUCCAGUUUCCUGGAGUUCCGUGUGUCCAGUGAAUGGCUGCUGCCCCGGUGGGUCCCGGGUCUGGGGCAGGGGAGACAGGCCCGGCACACCCUGCGAGCCUUGGGGAGAGGGCAGUGGUAGAGAACCAGGCGUCUGACGUGACUUGAGUCAUUCCUUUUCCUGGAGCGAGCUCUGCCAGACAACUCUGCUUCAGGAAUUCCUCUUUGAACUGUUGGAAGGAAGCAGCCCUGGGAGAAGGCAGUUUCCUUAGCUGGUGUGGAAUGGCCGUGCGUGUGUGUGCGCGCGUGCAUGUGUGUGUGUGCGCACGCGCAUGCGUGUGCGUGUGUGUGUGCACAUGUGUGUGUGCGUGUGUGCAUAUGUGUCCAGGUCUGCGCUAUCAGCAGGACUGUCGUGCUGCUCCGACGGCACAGUCUCAGUCUCACGUGGGACAGGCUGGGCUGUUCAUUUCUCUGGAGACAGCAUAAACAAAAUAUAAAUGUCAUAAUUUGGAUGAGGCUAUGUAUAAUUACAUGCUAUAUGUGUAUGUAGACACAUUCAAAUAAAAUGAGCUGAUAGUGGUUUCUUCGU